CACCGCUCCACCCAUCCGACUGCCCACACCGGUUCUCGCCACCCACCUCCCACCCCACAGUCUGGACGCGGAGGAAAUGAGAAAACCCCGCCACCAACACAGCCCCCUGCGCACCACCCCUGGCCAACAGCCCCACGCGCGGUCCCUAAAGGUGCCCAAAGCCCACUAAACCUACUGGCCCCUCGGGAGGGCUAGAGGACAACGCGGACGCUGACACACGAGAGCAGCGAACAGUUUUGAGAGGCCGGUAGGAAAUCCGGGACUAAGCAAGCACUUUCGUGUUCAAAUGUAACCUUUUCAAGGCUUCCAACAACCGUUGUAAUGGAUGGGCAGAUGAGGCACAGUUAACCAACAGACUCCAAGGCUCAACACUGGGGAGUGGCACAGCCCACGGAACAUGGCAGGGGAGUGUGGAUCCCCAUGGCCCCCCAGCUGCCAAGCUUCUCAUCUUUUGGAGAAAGAGCUCCCACACGUGCACAUGAGUCUCACAAACCAGGGAUUUCAGCCUCUCCCCUGGACCCCUAUCAGAGCUACUCUCCACACUUCCACCCUCUGCUCUCCUGGAAACCGCCCCAGCUCAGCCUGCACCAGUAACCCUAAAGCUUCCUUUUUCCUCGACUGUUUCUCAAGCUCCCAGCCUGCUCUCCAGCUCCAAGAAACAUUUCUACCUGGAUGCAAUGCACUGGGGACGCAGCAGCGGGUGAUUGCCACUGCCUCAUGAACAAAGACUUCACGGAUGUUUGGAUUCAUCUCAGAUCUCAUUCAAAGGAAAGUUCCUUUAGGACAGACCUGUCCCAUGAUCUCUCAAAUGUGUAUGGCAGCAUAAAUCUAUGUUAUAGACUCUGUGGCUUUGAGUAUGGGCUGAAAGCAAUGA